rnacentral:lncRNA from 1 species
CAGCACAAUGAGAGGUAAUAUGGCAUGCCCGCAUGGGGAGGAAUCAUGCCUUCGAAGAGGGUGAAGAGCUUGACCAGGAUGGAUCGAGACGCACGGGAGGGGCAUUAGGCGCGUGGGCAUGGGGGUGCUGCCGAAGAGGGUAGGGUGCGAAGGGCGACAUUGGCACCAUGGAAAAAGAGAUGUUAGGAGAAAAAAAAAGACCGACAUAGGUAAGAAAGAGGAGAGGUAGAAAAGAAGAGAGAGAGAGUGGAGAUGGGCAUAAUGAUUAUUUCAUCCUUUUUCAUCAAUAAUGUGAAAUUAUUUUUAUCAAAUGAUUCGCCAAAGCUACUUCACCAAUAAAACUGAGUUAUAUCAAAUAGAAACUUGUAUAUACGUACACGCUACGAGGCAUAGCUCUUCACUUAGAGUUGCAGGAUCUG